CGAGUUUGGACAGCCCUGAUCUAAACGAAACUUGUUUAUUACUAAAAACCACCAGUAAAUAGUCGGACAGAGACUGCCGUCAUCAGUGACCAGACGAGAUCAUUAGUGUGAAACCUGGGUGAUAAAAGCUUUAUCAAAGAGUCUUUCUUUCUCAAUCUACCCAUUGGUCUGUAUACGCCCUUUGUUAAUUAGCUAAUCACUGCAGCCAUGUACUAAUGGGUCCUGAUUUAAUGCCUGCUGAUGCACAACAGACAGAGACUCUGAGUUUGCCUCAUGUUUGUAUGGUGUGUGCGCGUAUACAUGAGCAAUAGACCACACACAUACCCUGAUCCUCUGUGCUCUGCCUUCUAAACAGAAAAAUAAAGUGGUCAUAUGGCAUCGUAUCACUGGACUCUGUGUUCUUGCAGACACUCCUGCUGGACUCAAGACAGACAUUCCCUAAAUCCUA